rnacentral:lncRNA from 1 species
GGUCUUCGCCCCUGCGCACAAAAGACCACCUUUAUUUUCCUGCAUCUUUCUUUCCUACAUUUAUCGCUUUUCCUAGGAGUAGUUCCUGUAACUUAGCCUCCUUGGAGUCUGUCUGCCCUCCGGGCAUCACUUCAUUGUAAACACCUCGGAGUCUGUCUGCCCUCCGGGCAUCACUCCCUUGUACACCUCGGAGUCUGUCUGCCCUCCGGGCAUCACUCCCUUGUACACCUCGGAGUCUGUCUGCCCUCC